rnacentral:lncRNA from 1 species
UGGGAAGCAUGUUUGUGCUCUACAGACGAGGGCCACCUCUUGUGGAAUUCCAAUACAGAAAGAGCAGUAGAGACUGGGUGAGAGCCCGGUGAUCGCAGCAGGGUUUGAAUGAUACAUUUGGCUGAUUUCCUGCAAAUGGUUCAGAACUCACAGAGCUCCACCCUGACCCAGAAGAGCAAGAAUGUUCAUCAGAAAGAGGCUCUGCUGCUGAAGGACCUGAAGGGAUGGAAUCUUCCGGGACCAGAGAAGCUCAAUACUGAUGCCAUCAAUGUGGAUGCUAUCCAGGGGAUGCUGAAACAGAGCAGUCAGGACUCCAGGUGGACUUCUGCAUUGGCCCAGAAAUUCAAAAGAAAGAGCCCGCUGUGUGAGGAUCCUCUUGGAAAGCUGCCCGGGAGAUAUGGUGAUGGGGAGCUGGCCUGGAGCCGGAAUGCCAAAGGCUGGGCACACCCAACCUUCCUCAUCGACUGUACCAGUGGGAAGCCUCUGCCUCUGCCUGGGCCAUUCCCACCCCCUCUCCAAAGGCCCCACUCAGGAUCCAUCCCCCCCACAUGAGAAUCUAUAUCCUAUUCUGCUGGGACCUGCCCAGGCCUACUCAGGAGGUCCCCCAGUGUGGAGCAGUUGUGGCAGAGCUGGGCAAACAGCUGGGCAAGAGCACCGAAGACCUGGCUCCUGGCCCAGUCAGGCAGCCUAGGUCCAAGGAGGGGCCCAAGUCCAAGGCAAUGCCCUCCAAAUCCUUCUUGCCCACAAGGGCUCGGGACAUAGUCAAGGACUCGCUGAAAGCAUGCUGUUCCUGCCUCAGUGGGCCAGAGGAUUAAAGUUGUGUGUGGGGGGGGUGGCAAUUCAGUUCAAUUCAAGACACAUUUUUUGAGUGCCUACUGUGUGCAUGAUCCUGGGCUUGACACUGGGGACACAAAUAUAAAAAGGGAGCUUACAACCUAACACACAAGUACAGUAUCUGUUAACAAGCAUUUAUUUUUUAAAAUAAAUUUUUAUUGUUAUCUUUUAUUUUUACA